rnacentral:rRNA from 1 species
UACAGAGACUGCGAGCGUUAUUCGGAUUCACUGGGCGUAAAGGGUGCGCAGGCGGCCGUGUGUGUAAGGUGUGAAAUCCCGGGGCUUAACCCCGGAACUGCGCCUUAAACUACAUGGCUAGAGUAUUGGAGAGGGUAGUGGAAUUCACGGUGUAGCAGUGAAAUGCGUAGAUAUCGUGAGGAACACCAGAGGCGAAGGCGACUACCUGGACAAUUACUGACGCUCAGGCACGAAAGCGUGGGGAGCAAAAGGG